AUGGACUGGUAUCGCCAGAGACCCGGGAAGGGGCUGGAAGUGGUAGCAGGGAUCAGCAAUGGUAGCAGCACCUGGUACGCUCCAUCCGUGCAGGGCCGGUUCAGGAUCUCCAGGGACAACGGGCAGAGCUCGGUGACGCUGAGCAUGAACAACCUCCAGGACGAGGAUUCCGGGGGGCUCCGGGCGGCCGUGACCCUGCUGGAGUCCGGGGGGCACCUCCAGCCCCCCGGGGGGUCCCUGCGCCUCCUCUGCCGAGGGGAGGGAUUCACCUUCGGGAGUUUCGACAUGUUCUGGGCGCGCCAGAAACCCGGGAAGGCGCUGGAAUUUGUGGCGAGCAUCAGCAGUGGUGGCACCACCAAAUACGCGCCGUCGGUUCAGGGCCGGUUCACCAUCAGCAGGGACAACGGGCAGAGCUCGGUGACGCUGAGCAUGAACAACCUCCAGGACGAGGAUUCCGGGGUUUAUUUCUGUGCCAAAUGUUACACCAGUGGUUGUUACAGCAGUUAUGGUGCUGCUGCUGCUGCUGUUGGUUAUGGUGACGAUGCCGGUGAUGGC